rnacentral:lncRNA from 1 species
GUGGCUAGGUGUGCCAUGUGACUGAGUGCUCAUGAUUGAGAUGAUGUUCACCUUUGGAACCUAGCCACUAUACCAUGAGGAAGUGCAGACCACAUGGAGCCACCAUGUAUAGCUGCUCCAUUCAACAGCCCUUGCUAAGUUCUCAGAAAACAGUCUGUAUCAAUUGUUAGGAUAUGUAAAUAAACAAGCUACUGUAUAGCUCAAUUCUAGGGACUGCUUGAAUUCCUUGACUCACAGUGCCUCACACCAACCUCUGGUUCUAUUGAAACUUUG